rnacentral:rRNA from 1 species
ACGAGAAGACCCUAUGAAGCUAAUUAAUGGUAUGAAAUUAAAAAAAUUGUGCGUAAAUUAUUUGGGGUAAAGAAAAAUAAUUUUAUUUUAAUUUAGUAAAACACUGAUCUUUAAUAAAAAUUAGGAGUAAGCUACUCUAGGGAUAACAGCGUAAUAUUUAUUAGAGGCCUUAUCGAAGUAAAUGUUUGCGACCUCGAUGUUGAAUUAUGGAGAUUUAUAAAAGCAGCAUUUUAUAGAUUUAGUCUGUUCGACUUCUAUUCCAUACAUGAUCUGAGUUCAAACC